UAGGGAAUCUUGCGCAAUGGGCGAAAGCCUGACGCAGCCAUGCCGCGUGAAUGAUGAAGGUCUUAGGAUUGUAAAAUUCUUUCACCGGGGAAGAUAAUGACGGUACCCGGAGAAGAAGCCCCGGCUAACUUCGUGCCAGCAGCCGCGGUAAUACGAAGGGGGCUAGCGUUGCUCGGAAUUACUGGGCGUAAAGGGCGCGUAGGCGGAUAUCUAAGUUGGGGGUGAAAGCCCGGGGCUCAACCUCGGAAUAGCCUUCAAUACUGGAUAUCUUGAGUUCGGGAGAGGUGAGUGGAAUGCCGAGUGUAGAGGUGAAAUUCGUAGAUAUUCGGCGGAACACCAGUGGCGAAGGCGACUCACUGGCCCGAUACUGACGCUGAGGCGCGAAAGCGUGGGGAGCAAACAGGAUUAGAUACCCUGGUAGUCCACGCCGUAAACGAUGAGUGCUAGUUGUCGGCAUGCAUGCAUGUCGGUGACGCAGCUAACGCAUUGAGCACUCCGCCUGGGGAGUACGGUCGCAAGAUUAAAACUCAAAUGAAUUGACGGGGUCAUAGCUGUUUCCUG
rnacentral:rRNA from 1 species